rnacentral:rRNA from 1 species
GGCUCAGAUUGAACGCUGGCGGCAGGCCUAACACAUGCAAGUCGAGCGGUAACAGGGGAAGCUUGCUUCUCGCUGACGAGCGGCGGACGGGUGAGUAAUGUAUGGGGAUCUGCCCGAUAGAGGGGGAUAACUACUGGAAACGGUAGCUAAUACCGCAUAAUCUCUCAGGAGCAAAGCAGGGGAACUUCGGUCCUUGCGCUAUCGGAUGAACCCAUAUGGGAUUAGCUAGUAGGUGAGGUAAUGGCUCACCUAGGCGACGAUCCCUAGCUGGUCUGAGAGGAUGAUCAGCCACACUGGGACUGAGACACGGCCCAGACUCCUACGGGAGGCAGCAGUGGGGAAUAUUGCACAAUGGGCGCAAGCCUGAUGCAGCCAUGCCGCGUGUAUGAAGAAGGCCCUAGGGUUGUAAAGUACUUUCAGUCGGGAGGAAGGCGUUGAUGCUAAUAUCAUCAACGAUUGACGUUACCGACAGAAGAAGCACCGGCUAACUCCGUGCCAGC